AUUGAACGCUGGCGGCAGGCCUAACACAUGCAAGUCGAGCGGAUGAAGGGAGCUUGCUCCUGGAUUCAGCGGCGGACGGGUGAGUAAUGCCUAGGAAUCUGCCUGGUAGUGGGGGAUAACGUCCGGAAACGGGCGCUAAUACCGCAUACGUCCUGAGGGAGAAAGUGGGGGAUCUUCGGACCUCACGCUAUCAGAUGAGCCUAGGUCGGAUUAGCUAGUUGGUGGGGUAAAGGCCUACCAAGGCGACGAUCCGUAACUGGUCUGAGAGGAUGAUCAGUCACACUGGAACUGAGACACGGUCCAGACUCCUACGGGAGGCAGCAGUGGGGAAUAUUGGCCAAUGGGCGAAAGCCUGAUCCAGCCAUGCCGCGUGUGUGAAGAAGGUCUUCGGAUCGUAAAGCACUUUAAGUUGGGAGGAAGGGCAGUAAGUUAAUACCUUGCUGUUUUGACGUUACCAACAGAAUAAGCACCGGCUAACUUCGUG
rnacentral:rRNA from 1 species